rnacentral:rRNA from 1 species
UACGGAGGGGGCUAGCGUUGUUCGGAAUUACUGGGCGUAAAGCGCACGUAGGCGGCUUUGCAAGUCAGAGGUGAAAGCCCGGGGCUCAACCCCGGAAUUGCCUUUGAGACUGCAUCGCUAGAAUUGUGGAGAGGUAAGUGGAAUUCCGAGUGUAGAGGUGAAAUUCGUAGAUAUCUGGAGGAACACCGGUGGCGAAGGCGGCGAUCUGGCCCAACACUGACACUGAGACCCGAAAGCGUGGGGAUCAAACAGG